UUCAAGAACAGGUGAAACUAAUUUAUGUUGAUAGAAGUCAGAUUGUUAGUUGCCUAUUUGUGCCCUUCCCUUUCUUUCUCUUCCCUUCAUUCUUCCUUCCUUCUUUCCUUCCUUCCUUCUCUUUUCCUCUCUCACUUGUCUCUUCCUCCUCCUUUUUAUCUCUCUCCUACACACACAUAUAUAAUAUUUAUUCAUUAUAUAUUUUAUAUAUAAGGGAAGGGAAGGGUAGCUAUAGACUGGGAAGGGGCACAAGAAAACCUUAUGGAAUGCAGGCCGUCUUCCAUAUCUUGAUCUAAAUGGCAGUUACACAGGUGUGCACAUGUGCAAAACCAUCCAGCUGCUUACUUUACUACUUCACUCUAUCUUCAACCACAAUAAAAGAUAAACAACUUAUUGAGCCAGGUGUGAUGGCUCAUGCCUGCAAUUCCAUCUACUUGGGAAACUGAGGCAGGAGGACUGCUUGAGCCCAGGAGUUUGAGACCAACCUGGGCAACAAAGUGAGACCCUGUCUCUAAAAUAAAAAUAAAAAUAAAAAUUAUUGAAUGAAUGAAUGAAUGAAUGGUCAUCUAUCUAAAGCUGCUUUGUGUCUUUCCCUUCCGAAUAGUGUUUCGAACCCUGGUGUCCCAAAUUCUGGACCGGGCUGAGCCUCUGCUUUCCUCCAGCCUGUCCUCGGAAGUCGUCACUGUUUUCCAGUAUUACAGUUACUUCACCAGCCACGGCGUCAGUGACCUGGAGAGUUACCUGAGCCAGCUGGCCAGGCAAGGUGGGACAUGUUCUUUUGUCACAUUGUAGUGGUGGCUCAAUUUGGCGUUAUCUCUGCUCUUUUAAAUCAUGGCUUUUGGCAAUGAUGGCCUUUUAUUUUUCAAGUCCACAGUAGA
rnacentral:lncRNA from 1 species